CGCGAGUAUAGCGAGCUAUAUUGACAGUGAGAAGAGCAAGUUAAACAGCACGUUUGAAAGAGAUUCAAAAUACUGUUUCAAUAGAAAGACAGUACCACUUAUAAAUAAUUUUGGAGAAAUUUAGGUUUAGUAUUAUUGUCGACGAAGAAAAUGGAAUCCCGAAUUUUGGUUAAAAUCGUCUGGUUAUUGGCGGUACUCGGUUUAUGUUAUGGUAGUUCCAUAGUUCCCACAAGGUUGGAAACAAGGCUAUGCAGAGCGCAGUUUGGUAAGUAAACCGGUCAUGUAGUGACUAUAUAUCUGAGCUUUUUUAUCCUACUUAGAAUUUUAUAUAUGGCUAGUCGGUUUCUGUACUAAGACACCACUGGCGCGCACGUUAUCGCAAAUCUGUAAACAAUGUAAUGUAACGAGGUUGUUGUCAUCGACUUCAGUAGUUCAGUACGAAUUUGUUACGUGCAGACGAUGUCAAACUUUUCGGAACAACUUGUUGCGAGUCCGUUGGCCUCAUCGAGUGUCACUCGACCUUGUUCAAGAUGUUACAGCAACUUGGUCCGGACUUAUCAACAACUGGAAACAAGCAUUGUGCGAACACAUCUUGUUGACAAUCUGUGUGACAUUCAAAGUAUAGUAUUAAAAUUAAACGCGUAAUAUUAAUAAAACCGGCCAAUAGCUACAUCAGUAAUUUUUGAAAGUACUAUUAAUUCACUCCAAGCAUUGACAGUUAAAAAAUGGACAGAAGAGCCCGGCAAAUUUUUAAACCAUACAUAUUUUAUAAAAUAAUUUAUUAGCUAUAAUUGUUUGCUUUGAAGUGAAUUAUACACGGUCAUGGUACUUAUGUUAAAAAGGCAUUAUAAAAAAAAACUCAAAAGAAAUUUUUAAUGAUGUCUGUAAAUCGGGUAAUUAUUUGUAAGACACUUUUAUAAAUUUUUAAACAAAGAUUUCCGACAGGUUUAUCAAUAAAUAGGUAUUCCAAACGAGGUAAGUAUUUAGCCUGCGUAGCAGGGGAAAGCAUGGAGAAACUGACAGCCCAAAAACGAAUGCUACACCGCUAAGGUAAGCAUUGCAAUUCGCUUUUUUAGCACACGAAGGGUGAGCAUAGCGUCACCAUGAAAUUAUGGAUAUUAUAUAACCAUUGUUUUGGUAAGCGUUUCCUAUUCAGUGCCCAUAAUUAAGAAAAUAAGAGACAUACUAUAAAGAGGUCUUUAGAUUGGUUAGACUUCGCGUCUUCACGUGAUGACGAUGUGGGUGUAUUGUUAUGAUUUACAGACGACGUCUGAUGCAACGUAAAAAUAUCAAGAAUUAUCGUUCCAUGUUUCGCGCACCAAUAUAGGUUAGGGGUUAGGUAUUAGGGGUUAGGUUAGGGUUAGGUUUAAGGUUAGGGUAUGUAUAUGGUGGUAUCCAGUGAGUUAACUUUUCAGUACACCAUAAUAUCCAUUACAUCGCGUUUACCACAUAUUGGUGCGCGAAACAUGGAACGAUUACCAAAUCAAGGCUCUUUUCCACCGUCAUGGGUGUAUGAAGGGGGGGG
rnacentral:lncRNA from 1 species